AGAGUUUGAUUAUGGCUCAGAACGAACGCUGGCGGCGCGUUUUAAGCAUGCAAGUCGAGCGGCAAGGGCCUUCGGGCCCCUAGAGCGGCGGACGGGUGAGUAACACGUGGACAAUCUGCCCCCCGGCCGGGGAUAGCCCAGGGAAACCUGGAUUAAUACCGGAUGAGACGGGACCCGCGGAGGCGGGAUCCGGGAAAGGCGCUGCGGCGCCGCCGGGGGAUGAGUCUGCGUCCCAUUAGCUUGACGGCGGGGUAACGGCCCACCGUGGCGACGAUGGGUAGCCGGCCUGAGAGGGUGUACGGCCACAUUGGAACUGAGACACGGUCCAGACUCCUACGGGAGGCAGCAGCUAAGAAUCUUCCGCAAUGGGCGAAAGCCUGACGGAGCGACGCCGCGUGAACGAAGAAGGCCGUGAGGUUGUAAAGUUCUUUUCGGGAGGGGGAACAACCGUGGCAGGGAAUGGCCGCGGGAUGACGUGAAUCCCGGAAUAAGCCCCGGCUAACUACGUGCCAGCAGCCGCGGUAACACGUAGGGGGCGAGCGUUGUUCGGAAUCAUUGGGCGUAAAGGGCGUGCAGGCGGUCCUGCAAGUCCGGCGUGAAAGACCCCGGCCCAACCGGGGGGGCGCGCUGGAAACUGCAGGGCUUGAGUACAGGAGGGGAUGCCGGAAUUCCAGGUGUAGGGGUGAAAUCUGUAGAUAUCUGGAGGAACACCAAUGGCGAAGGCAGGCAUCUGGCCAUGUACUGACGCUGAGACGCGAAGGUGCGGGGAACAAACAGGAUUAGAUACCCUGGUAGUC
rnacentral:rRNA from 1 species